GCCUGUUUAACAAAAACACCGCCUUUUGAAGUUAGUAGAAGGUCUGGCCUGCCCACUGUAAUUAAAGGGCCGCAGUAUUUUGACUGUGCAAAGGUAGCAUAAUCAUUAGUCUUUUAAUUGAAGGCUGGUAUGAAUGGUUGGAUGAGGUAAAAGCUGUCUCUUGGGGGCAAAGUAGAAUUUAGCCUCUUAGUCAAAAGGCUAAGAUAUAAUUAAAGGACGAGAAGACCCUAUAGAUCUUUAUAGAGUUACAUAAGCUUUCUGGGUGAGUUAGGGGUUUAAGGAAUUUCUAUUUGGUUGGGGUGACAAGGAAAUAAAAUAACUUUCUUUAUGAGGACACAUAUGAGUGAAUACAGGAUCCACAUUUUGUGAUUAUAAGAUUAAGUUACCUUAGGGAUAACAGCAUAAUCUUCCUGGAGAGUUCUAAUCGAUAUGGAGGGUUGUGACCUCGAUGUUGGACUAAGAUUUAGCCCAGGUGCAGCAGUUUGGGAUAGUGGUCUGUUCGACCAAUAAAAUCUUACAUGAUCUGAGUUCAAACCGGAGCUC
rnacentral:rRNA from 1 species